rnacentral:rRNA from 1 species
GACGAACGCUGGCGGCGUGCUUAACACAUGCAAGUCGAACGGAAAGGCCCUGCUUGCAGGGUACUCGAGUGGCGAACGGGUGAGUAACACGUGGGUGAUCUGCCCUUCACUUCGGGAUAAGCCUGGGAAACUGGGUCUAAUACCGGAUAGGAGCCAUUUUUAGUGUGAUGGUUGGAAAGUUUUUUCGGUGUAGGAUGAGCUCGCGGCCUAUCAGCUUGUUGGUGGGGUAAUGGCCUACCAAGGCGGCGACGGGUAGCCGGCCUGAGAGGGUGGACGGCCACAUUGGGACUGAGAUACGGCCCAGACUCCUACGGGAGGCAGCAGUGGGGAAGAUUGAACAAUGGGCGCAAGCCUGAUGCAGCGACGCCGCGUGGGGGAUGACGGCCUUCGGGUUGUAAACUCCUUUCGCUAGGGACGAAGCUUUUUGUGACGGUACCUAGAUAAGAAGCACCGGCUAACUACGUG